UUCAUUUACAUCUACAUAAAUGAAUAUCCUAAAUUAUAAAGUAAAGUUUCAUAUAAGAAAAAUAAAUACAUGAUGCCUUAUAUAUUAUGUUACAUUACGUUAAAAUAAAUUUUACAUUACAUAUAAUAAAAUAAAUAAACCACAAACACAAGAAUUUAUCAUUACAAAGAGUUGCCGAAUUCUCAUCUAUUAACCGCCUCCACCUCCACCUCCGCAACCUCCACCGCCGCCUCCACAUCCACCACCACCUC
rnacentral:lncRNA from 1 species